rnacentral:rRNA from 1 species
CAACAGAGGGAUGCAAUACCGUGAGGUGGGAGCGAACCCCUAAAAAUCGUCCCAGUUCAGAUUGCAGUCUGCAACUCGACUGCAUGAAGUCGGAAUCGCUAGUAAUCGCGGAUCAGCAUGCCGCGGUGAAUACGUUCCCGGGCCUUGUACACACCGCCCGUCACACCAUGAGAGUCGGGAACACCCGAAGUCCGUAGCCUAACCGCAAGGGGGGCGCGGCCGAAGGUGGGUUCGAUAAUUGGGGUGAAGUCGUAACAAGGUAAC